UCUCUGUCUCUUCCUAACUUUUCUAUUUUCUCCUUAGUUUUCCCCUCAGGGUUAGAUCUCAGGCGUUUUGCGACACACUGUAUAUAUUUAAUAUAUUCUAUAUCUAUAUACCUGUUUCUUCCGAUUAAUUCUACUCUGAUCUAUAAUCUAUUGUAAGCAUACACACACACGGGAAUAUUUGGAUGUACCCUUUUCUUUUUUCUUUUGAGAAACUUCUCCUUCCUAUAUGGAUUUGCCAAGGUAUGUGAGUCAUUCCCAAUUUAAGAGAUUACUGUUUGGUUUUGAUUCUUACAGCAAGGGUUCCUUUUUUUUUUUUUAAAUCUCUUUCCUUAAGUGAAAGAAUAUGUCUUUAAUUUAAUCGAUACAGCAAAGCCUGUAGAUUGUAUAGCUAACAGGCUUUGAACCCCGUUUGUUUUGAUUUUCUGGAGGUUCUGAAAGUAAGCGCUUUUGUUGUUGUUCUUUAUAGAGUUGUUGUUGAAUUUUUCUUUCUUUUUUUUUUAAUUGGGGUUUUGGCUUUUCUUUUGUUCUUGAGGUAUGGAUUGAGUUCAUGGGGUUAGAUUCCAUUCGGGUACCCCAACUGGCCUCGUGUGCCAAACAGACACUAACCACUAGCAACAAGCCACAUCAGCUACUCCUCGUGGCCUUGCUGCUAAAAUUCCACAUAAAAUCUCAAUUUUCCAGUCUC
rnacentral:lncRNA from 1 species